AUAAUUCAGUGAUGAAUCUCGAAUGUGCACUGGGCAAGGUGAUGAUGCUGGAACUUUUGUUUGGUGCCGUUCCAGUGAGAUUUAU